rnacentral:tRNA from 1 species
GGAGGGGUGGCCGAGCGGCUCAAGGCGGCGCCCUGCUAAGGCGUUGGGCUCACAAGGCCCGCGUGGGUUCGAAUCCCACCCCCUCCG